rnacentral:rRNA from 1 species
ACGGAGGGUGCGAGCGUUGUCCGGAAUCAUUGGGCGUAAAGGGCGUGUAGGCGGUUUGUUAAGUCAUGUGUGAAAGCCCCCGGCUCAACCGGGGAACGACGCAUGAAACUGGCAAGCUAGAGUACCGAAGAGGGGGGUGGAAUUCCCGGUGUAGCGGUGAAAUGCGUAGAUAUCUGGAGGAACACCAAUGGCGAAGGCAACUUCCUGGGGCAAUACUGACACUGAUGUGCGAAAGCGUGGGGAGCAAACAGGA